GAUGUAUCGAUCAGAUACAUUACUUUACACGAUAUAUUGAUCGAAUACAUCACUUUACUCAAUAUAUCGGGACUUACACGAUGUAUCAAAAUAUUGAGUAAUGUAUUCAAAAUCGAGACGCGAUAUAUUGGGACGUUGAGCUACGUAUCUGAAAUCGAGAUGCGGUGGAUCGAGAGAUUGAACGAUGUAUCCAAAAUCGAGAUGUGAUGUAUUAUGACGUUUUGAAAUGUAUUCAAAUUCACCAAUAUUAUGAGAGUUUUGUAGCUUGGAAUAUAAUAGGAAUAUGGUGCAAAGAUUUGUGUAAAAUUUCAAUUUGCUAAUAGUACUAUUGAGAUAUCUCAGCAUAAUUAAUACAAGCAUAAUUAAUAUAAACAUUAUUAUAUAUAUUACUCAAUAAUAUUUUUAUACACAUAUCAAACAACCCCCUACAUGUUACACACACAUUAAUAUUAGAUUUAGUGUAUAAACUAAUGCAAGUUAUAUAUUGUUCGAAAUGAUAUAUUGUAACAUAAUUAGUAAUACUAUUUUAUUUUUUCGAAUCCAUGAACCACAUCUUUCUUGAUUUUCAAUAAAAAAAAUUGUUCUUUGGUACUUUUUUUUUUUAUCAAUAUGAGGCUAUUGAAUUGUUGACAAGGGAGUGCAUACAAGGUGUUUGAUGAAAUUACUGAACCGUGUGUUAUCUAGUAUAAAUGUGAUGUUUGAUGCUUGUUGGGAAAAUGGAGAUAUGGGUUUGGGGUUCUUGAUGUUUUAUUGCAUGCUUAUUGUGAUGUUAGUAUGAUUUAUGGGUACAUGAAGAACAGGUGCUCUGAGGUUGCUGUUAAGUUCUUUUGAGAAAAUGAAGGUACAUGAGGAUAUGAAGUGUGGUUUAUUGAAGUCAAAUGAGGCUGCUUUUGUUAGUAUUCUUAGUUCCUGCACGUGUUUGGAUGUCGGCGUGGCAUGGCGUUAUAUCUAGGGAGGCAAGUACAUGGUAAGGAAUGAGGCAGGUAGAUUAAUCGCGUUUUAUGGGAAGAUGGGUUGUUUAGUAUAUGCUUUGAAGGUAUUUGAUGUGAUGGUUAGUUAGUAGGUUUGAGCUUGGAAUGGUAUGGUUUCUUCCUUAGCUUUGAAUGGUAGGGAGAAGCAAGCAUUAACAUGUAUGCGAAGAUGAGAUCAAAGGGUCUGCAAAGUGGCAGUUCUAUCAGCUUGUGUGUGUCAGGCUUGUCGAUUUCGGUUUUCAAUUGUUUGAAGCAAUGUCACGUGAAUUUGGAUUUGUUGCUAGAAUGGAACAUUAUGGUUGUGUGGUUUAUCUAUCAGGGAGAGUCGGGCUACUGCAGGAAGCGUACGACUUCAUAAAGAAGAUGCCUUUUGAAGCUGAUGCUACUGUAUUGGGUGCUUUGUGGGUGCUUGUAGACUUCAUGGAGCUAUUGAGAGGGAAAUGAAGUAGCUCAACCAUUGCUUAAGUCCCAACCGAAUCAUUCAGGGCGAUAUGUGCAUUCUCAAGCAUUUAUGCUGGCGCAGAGAGGUGGAAUCACGCCGUUUCCUUAAGAAAAGCAAUGUUAGAUGCUGGAAUACAGAAGGUUCCAGCCCACAGUUUUAUUUAGUAGAGAUGAUAGCUGUAGCAGCUUUUAUUUGCAAAAUUGUCAAUGAGCUUACUUGGUGAUGAUAUCUCGACUCAGCUAAAAGGAUCCUUUAUAUUGGUUUUGCACAGAGACUGAAGCACUGCUUAAAGAAAGUUGAUGUCAUAGCUUGACUGAUCAAGGAGGACAUGUUUUUUGUGAAAAUGCACAGCAAACCUGGUUCCAAAGUCUGCUUGGCGAGGAACUGUUUCUCUUCUUCUCUUUUUCAAACUUCUUCUCACUGGAAUACACAUGUAUAUGAUAACUGCGACAGAAUACCUACCUUGAUGUUAUGUCGGUUGGAUGUAUGAACAAAGAAGAUCGAUAUGAGGCAUUUAGCAGGAAACAGUGCAUGUUUUUCACAAAAACCAAGUCGAUGAGCAGAUUUUGGCAUGAUGCUUCUGUGGCUGUGCAAUCCAGAUCAUUUGGUGGUGCUUGAGCAUGUUGUUUCCAAUCUUCUAUUGAUGUAUUUGAUGCGAUGGAGCAAAUUUGCAUAUGGAAUGUUCUAUCAGCUUGUGCGUGUGCCAAGCUUAUCGAUUUGCGGUUCUAAUUGUUUGAAGCAAUGUCACAUGAAUGCGGACUUGUAGCUAAGAUGAAACAUUGUGGCUAGCUGUGUCGAUGAGCCUGCAUCAUGAUGAAGUCAUGACUCACCUCUGCUAUUUUGGUCGUCGUUAGUAUCCAAGGUUUUUUCUCCAACUUUUCAACUGCUACACUAACUCUAUUGUUGUCAUAGUUAUUCAAGUUAUUCUAUUUCAAAGUACGCGAUAACUUGGAAUUGUUUUAGUA